AUCAUAAAAGCAACUAGAAAGUUUUUGUUUUUUUCAUAUUUUGUACUUUUUCAAUAAUGCAGAUUAUGAUUAUAGUUCUAAAAUUGAACUUAUUUGGUUCAUUAUCCAAUGAAAUGGGACUAUGAAAUUCCAAAUGGUGUAGCGACAAUAUUUAUAUCAUAGUAACGAAAUCGAAAAACUACACAGAAUUCCACAUUGCUCAGGAGGAUCUGGACUAACAAAAAUGGAGGCACACUGAAGAGGAUUUAGAUAUAGCAGCUGUUAUUGCCUUUAUAGAGGUAAGAAGUCAAGGCUUAGAAAAUUUAGAGACUGGUUUGUCCAUGAGAGUAGGGCAGCCUUUAAACUCUUCAGGAAUUUGUUUCCUGGAAGGCAACAGUCACCCUUGGGAAAGUUUCUUAAUUCCAAGCCAUUUGUGCAUGUUUUGUCUUCCCACAGUUUCCAAGGAUUUACUCUACUUGUUUAGUUUUCUCUAGAUGUCACUACAUAUGUUUUUACUGGGGUUCUUCCCAUUGGGAAAUACAGAGUUCUAGAGUCACGCCUGCGGUUAAGUGAAUGGCACUUGGCAAAUCUAAGGCUGUUCAGCAACUCUAUAACUGUAAAUACCUACCUUUGGGGUUGCUUGGGGAAUUGGUAGAAAUCAUAUGGAAAAAUCUAGCUUGGAAGUGACCUCUAGAUUUCCUUUCCCAGCUGCUGGAGGAAGAAUGUAUUUGGGAAGCAGUGUAUUUAAGCUUCAGGAGAUCAGGGUGUGGGUACUGGCCAAGAUGCUGUUGGUUGCGACUUGAUGAGGUGACUUAUUUGUGGAGUGGGAGCGACAACUGUGUUGGAAGCUAGGUGAUGUCUGCCCGAAGCACUGUGCUAUAAUGGUGGACACAUGUGCAAGAAGAUUAACGGGAAACCAGGCUUAACAGACUGUUGAAGUGCUAAAGAGCGAACUCAAAGACCUUGUCCAUCUGCAUUGACCUUCGGGUUGAAACUAGGUAGAGCCCAGUGCGCUACAUGCUAUUUGCCCUGGAGUGCUCCUCGGUCACACAGAAAUAUGAUUUUCUUUUCUGAUUUGAAUCAAAUCUUCAACAUGAAAUGUUAACAAAAACAUCUAGCCUAGGGUUUAAAAAUGUAUUCACCACAGAAAGACUUGGAAAUAUUUAAUGCUUCAAAUAAUUUUCUCUAGCCUCUGAGAUAUCUUGCACUAAAAAUGUCUUUCUGCUGGAGUAUUUUCUAAAAUAUUAGUUUCCACUUUUACUUUUUGCUCCCAGGACAACUAUUCCUCUGAACCAAAACAGCUCCUUUAUUUUAUUUUUUCCUUUUUUAUUUUUUUCUGGUUCUGAAAUAACCCAUCCUGAAGACAUAAACAACUUGCCUUGAUGGCUAGCCAAGACUCUGUCCUGCCCCGGACCUCCUCCUACUCUUUCAUUUCUUACCCCAAGGAGCAGUAAACAUGAAUCUUGACCCACCAAUGCAGCCUCAGAACGGAGAAGAGAUACACCACAGCUAAAGAGUAGGUACCAAUAAAAACAAUGCCUCAAUUCGAUGAUAUUAAAUAUGCUGGGAAGACAGUCUCCAAGAGAAAGGAUAAAUAACCUACAUAAUGAAGAAUUAGUUAGCAGUGUUAUGUAAAUAUUGUAGCAGCAUCAAUGAGGAGGUAAGCAGAAGUAUUUUAAGACACUAUAUUAUACAAUACACUGUGCACUGUUUCCUGGUGAUAAGGUUUUUAAAGCAUCUUUAUAAGCUCUUCUUCUCUGUUGUGACAGGAUUAUUUUUGCACCUUUGGAAAGCAACUGAAAAAGGAAGCUUGGAAAAAAUCCUGCCUAACAAAGCAGCCAUACUCAAGAUUUGUGCACCUGGAGUCAACCGCAGGCCAUGCCCAUCUCCCACUACUUAGAAGCAUCAAAUGCUCAAUUGGAAAAAAUGAGGAGGAAAAAAACAGCGAUAAAGAAAGAUGGGGAGAGCAAAAGAAGGAGUAAGAGAAAAACGGAGGGAGAAAGAAGGCAGCAAGGUUGGGGGCAUAGGAAGAAGGAAGCGGGAGACCUAAUCCAGUAUCUGGAUCUCCAUCUGUUCUGUUCAGGAAACUGUAUAAAUCUCCCAACUCCUUUUAUUUUCCUUAGACUAGUUGGAGUUGGGAUUCUGUCAUUUGAAAUUGAAAAUGUCCCAACUAAUAUACUGUUUAUUUAUUUAUUUAUUGCUGAGGAAGAUUAGCCCUGAGGUAACAUCUGUGCCAAUCUUCCUUGAUAUGUGGGUCACUACCACAGUAUGGCUGACAAAUGAUAUAGGUCCACACCUGGAAUCCAAACCCACCAACCGAGGCCGCCAAAGCAGAGCAUGCUGAACUUAACCACCAUGCCUUGGGGCUGGCCCCUAAUAUACUAUUUAAAGGGAUUUUUCCUUGGUACGAAAUGUGUCUACGUUUCUCCAACUUUCCAAGAUUUGGCAAUUAAUUUAAACUCUUAAGUGAACUGGUUGGCUUAACUUUAAGAUAUGUGCUUUUCAGAAAUUAAUUUCAACAGGUAAUAAUGUUGAUAGCAUCCCAAAUUUCACUCCUUUAAGGUCAUUAUUAUGGAAUUUUUGGAAUUGAACUAAUUUAAAUACAUAAAACCAAUGAUCUCUAUUCAAAUGGUUUCUAUGGCCUCCAACAUUCAUAUAAGGAUUUGUUUAUUUUAAUAUUGAACAUUGCAAAGAAUAAAUUAAAAACAAAAUGUGUUUAGGAUUCUAAAUAUAGCGUUAUUUAAAAAGCUAUCUACCCUAAAAAAAUCACCAACUAUCUAUCCUAUGUUACAGCUUAAUUUUAAUUUUUAUUAUUUAAAUGUGCUUCUAGCAGAUGAAACUAUACAUAUUUGUUUGGAAAUCAGGUAUUUUUUAAAAAUAGAUUUUACUUUUUAGAGCACUUUUAGGUUCACAGAAAAAUUGAGCAGAAGAUGCAGAGAUUUCCCGUAUACCCCCUGCCCCGACAUAUACCCAGCCUCCCUCACUAUCAAAAUCUUGCUCCAGAGGGGUACAUUUGCUGUGUUUGAUGAACCUACGUUGACACAUCAUUAUUACACAAAGUCCAUAGUUUACAUUAGAGUUCACUCUUGGUGUUGUACAUUCUAUGGGUUUGGGCAAAUGUAUAAUGACACAUAUUCUCCAUUAUAGAGUCCUACAGAGUAGUUUCAUUGCCCUAAAAGUCCUCUGUGCUCUGUCUAUUCCCCCCUCCCUUCCUUCCAAUCCCUGGCAACUAUUGAUCCUUUCACUGUCUCCACAGUUCUGCCUUUUCCAGAAUAUCAUAGAAUUGUAAUCAUAGAAUAGACAGCCUUUUCAGUUGGCUGAUUUCACUGGGUAAUAUGCAUUUAGGUUUCCUACAUAUCUUUUCAUGGCUUUAGUUCAUUUCUUUUUAGUGCAGAAUAAUAUUCUAUUGUCUGAAUGUAACACCGUUUAUUUACCCAUUCACUUACUGAAGGUCAUCUUGAUUAUUUCCAAGUUUUGGCAAUUAAGAAUAAAGCUGUUAUAAACAUUCAUGAGCAGCUUUUUGUGUGGACACGAAUUUUCAACUCUUCAGUAAAUACCAAGGAACACAACUGCUGGAUUGUGUGGAAUCCUUUCCAAAAAUAAUUUGCUGCAGCACAGGUGAGAUUCCUCAGAGGAUCCAGCCAAGGUUGGUUUCUUCUUGUCUAGUUAAAGUCUUGGGCAUGCUCCCUUCAGAGCAGUCUUGUUAAUCGUUUAUGUCAUGGAGUUUUUAAUUCCUGGGAUGGUGACAUUGAGCUCACAGACAUAGUGUUCAUUCCACUGUUGCUUCUGCUCACAUGUCUAAGGUUUUACUCUGUUCAAUAUGUGUAUAUAGGGGCUGGCCUGUGGCGUAGCAGUUAAGUUCACCGCUCUCUGCUUUGGCGGUCCGGGGUCUGCUGGUUCAGAUCCCACGCAUGGACCUACGCACUCCUCAUCAAGCCAUGCAGUGGCAGGCAUGUCACAUGUGAAAUAGAGGAAGAUGGGCACAGAUGUUAGCUCAGGGCCAAUAUUCCUCUGCAAGAAAAGAGGAGGAUUAGUGGUGGCUGUUAGCUUGGGGAUCAUCUUCCUCAAAAAAUAAAAAAAAAGGCAUCUAUAAAUUUUGAACCACUGUCUUAAUGCUUACCUUGC
ensembl:lncRNA